rnacentral:rRNA from 1 species
GAUAUUCCAGUACCGGUAAUGAUUGUUUGAGCGAUGGAGUGACACAGGAGGGCAGGCAGGCAGGAGAUUGGUAGUUCCUGUACAAGCGUGUAGGAUGGGUUAUAGGCAAAUCCGUAACCUGAGAGUCUGAGGCGUGAUGUGGAGGAGGUAGAGAUACCUUCGAAGCUGUUGACCCCACACUGUCGAGAAAAGCUUCUAGUGAGAAAGUUACCGCCCGUACCGUAAACCGACACAGGUAUGCGGGGAGAGAAUCCUAAGGUGCGCGGGAGAACCCUCGUUAAGGAACUCGGCAAAAUGUACCCGUAACUUCGGGAUAAGGGUAGCCACCGUUGUGAAAGAACUUGCUUCUGGAGCAUAGUGUGGUCGCAGAGAAGAGGCCCAAGCGACUGUUUACCACAAACACAGGUGCCUGCUAAAGAGAAAUCUGACGUAUAGGUGCUGACACCUGCCCAGUGCCGGAAGGUUAAGGAAGGAUGUCCGGAGUAAUCCAAAGCAUUCGACCGAAGCCCCGGUGAACGGCGGCCGUAACUAUAACGGUCCUAAGGUAGCGAAAUUCCUUGUCGGGUAAGUUCCGACCCGCACGAAAGGUGUAACGAUUUGGGCACUGUCUCAACGAGGGACCCGGUGAAAUUGAAGUACCUGUGAAGAUGCAGGUUACCCGCGACUGGACAGAAAGACCCCAUGGAGCUUUACUGUAACCUGACAUUGGGUUCUGAUACAUCACGUACAGGAUAGGUGGGAGGCAUGG